rnacentral:rRNA from 1 species
ACGGGAGGCAGCAGUGGGGAAUAUUGCACAAUGGGGGAAACCCUAAUGCGGCGACGCCGCGUGAGUGAAGAAGUAUUUCGGUAUGUAAAGCUCUAUCAGCAGGGAAGAAAUGACGGUACCUGACUAAGAAGCCCCGGCUAACUACGUGCCAGCAGCCGCGGUAAUACGUAGGGGGCAGGCGUUAUCCGGAUUUACUGGGUGUAAAGGGAGCGUAGACGGCGAUGCAAGUCUGAUGUGAAAGCCCGGGGCUCAACCCCGGCACUGCAUUGGAAACUGUGUUGCUAGAGUGCAGGAGAGGUAAGUGGAAUUCCUAGUGUAGCGGUGAAAUGCGUAGAUAUUAGGAGGAACACCAGUGGCGAAGGCGGCUUACUGGACUGUAACUGACGUUGAGGCUCGAAAGCGUGGGGAGCAAACAGGAUUAGAUACCCUGGUA